UACGUAGGGUGCAAGCGUUGCCCGGAUUCAUUGGGCGUAAAGCGCGCGCAGGCGGCCUUCCAAGUCCCGCGUGAAAUCGCCCGGCUCAACCGGGCGGGGUCGCGGGAGACUGGGGGGCUCGAGCGAGGGAGGGGGCAGUGGAAUUCCCGGUGUAGUGGUGGAAUGCGUAGAUAUCGGGAGGAACACCGGUGGCGAAGGCGGCGAUCUGGGUCGAUACUGACGCUGAGGUGCGAAAGCGUGGGGAGCAAACAGG
rnacentral:rRNA from 1 species